AACGAACGCUGGCGGCAUGCCUAACACAUGCAAGUCGAACGAGACCUUCGGGUCUAGUGGCUCACGGGUGCGUAACGUGUCGGAACCUGCCCUUAGGUUCGGAAUAAUUCUCUGUAAUGGGUGCUAAUACCGGAUAAUGUCUUCGGAUCAAAGAUUUAUCGCCUUUGUAUGGGCCCGCGUUGUAUUAGCCUGUUGGUAGGGUAAAAGCCUAUCACGGCGACGAUCCAUAGCUGGUUUGAGAGGAAGAUCAGCGACACUGGGACUGGGACACGGCCGAGAAUACUACGGGAGGGAGGAGAGGGGAAUAUAGGACAAUGGGGGAAAGGCUGAACCAGCAAUGCCGCGAGAGUGAUGAAGGCGGGAGGGAUGUGAAGCUGGUUUACACGGGAUGAUAAUGACAGUACCGGGAGAAUAAGCUCCGGCUAACUCCGUG
rnacentral:rRNA from 1 species